rnacentral:rRNA from 1 species
CCUACGGGUGGCAGCAGUGGGGAAUAUUGGGCAAUGGGCGCAAGCCUGACCCCGCAACGCCGCGUGAAGGAAGAAGGCUUUCGGGUUGUAAACUUCUUUUCUCAGGGACGAAGAAAGUGACGGUACCUGAGGAAUACGCCACUGAUAACUACGUGCCAGCAGCCGCGGGAAUACGUAGGUGCCAAGCGUUAUCCGGAAUUACUGGGUGUAAAGGGCGUGUAGGCGGUACUGCAAGUCAGAUGUGAAAACCACGGGCUCAACCUGUGGCCUGCAUUUGAAACUGUAGUUCUUGAGUGCUGGAGAGGCAGACGGAAUUACUAGUGUAGCGGUGAAAUGCGUAGAUAUUAGGAGGAACACCAGUGGCGAAGGCGGUCUGCUGGACAGCAACUGACGCUGAGGCGCGAAAGCGUGGGGAGCAAACAGGAUUAGAUACCCGUGUAGUC